UUAAUUCGACGCAACGCGAAGAACCUUACCGAGGGCUUGACACUCCCCUGACCGCGUAUGAAGUACGUUUCACCCUCGGGGGACAGGGUGACAGGUGGUGCAUGGUUGUCGUCAGCUCGUGUCGUGAGAUGUUGGGUUAAGUCCCGCAACGAGCGCAACCCUCGACCUUAGUUGCCAGCAUUCAGUUGGGCACUCUAAGGUGACUGCCGGCUAAAAGUCGGAGGAAGGUGGGGAUGACGUCAAAUCAUCAUGCCCCUUAUGACCUGGGCUACACACGUGCUACAAUGGGCGGUACAAAGGGUCGCGAACCCGCGAGGGGGAGCCAAUCCCAAAAAGCCGCUCUCAGUUCGGAUUGCAGGCUGCAACUCGCCUGCAUGAAGCCGGAAUCGCUAGUAAUCGCGGAUCAGCAUGCCGCGGUGAAUACGUUCCCGGGCCUU
rnacentral:rRNA from 1 species